GAUGAAGAACGUAGCGAAAUGCGAUAAGUAAUGUGAAUUGCAGAAUUCAGUGAAUCAUCGAAUAUUUGAACGCACCUUGCACCCUUUGGCAUUCCGAAGGGUAUGCUCGUUUGAGUGUCAUUGUACUCUCACUCUGCCGAUCUUUGGAUCGGGAGUGGUGGACUUGGGUGUUGCUGCUUUACCGUGGCUCACCUCAAAUGGAUUCGUGCAACUCCUGGUUGGACAUAGUACGGCGUGAUAAGUGUCUUCGCCGGCACCUCACUAGAGGGUGACUGACCGGGAGCUCUGUGCUUCAAACCGUCUUCGGACAACAACUGACAACUUGACCUCAAAUCGAGUAGGACCACCCGCUGAACUUAAGCAUAUCAAUAAGCGGAGGA
rnacentral:misc_RNA from 1 species